AAUAGGAUCAUCUGGGGAUUCUGUUUAAAAUGUAGAUUAUGAUUCAGAAGGUCUGGGGGUGGGAUGUAGAAUUCUGAAUUCUGCAUUUUAAACAAAUUCCAAGCGAUGUUGUU
rnacentral:pre_miRNA from 1 species